AAAACAUCUUUUCUUGUUAAAUUUAUGAAGUUUGUCCUGCCCAAUGAUUAAUUUAAUGGCCGCGGUAUUUUGACCGUGCAAAGGUAGCAUAAUCAUUAGUUUAUUAAUUGUAAACUCGUAUGAAUGGUUUGACGAAACAUUAACUGUCUCAUUAUUAUUAUUAGAAUUUAAAAUUUAAGUUAAAAUGCUUAAAUUAUUUUGUAGGACGAGAAGACCCUAUAGAUCUUUAAUUAUUAUUUUUAAUUAUUUUUAGUUUAUUAUUUGUUUUUAUAAGUAAUUAUUUUUGUUGGGGUGACAUAAGGAUAUAAUUAACUCUUAUUUAUUUUUUACAUUUAUUUUUGAUUAUUUGAUCUUUUAUUAUUGUUCAUAAGAUUUAGAUACCUUAGGGAUAACAGCGUAAUCUUCUUUGAGAGUUCCUAUCGACAAGGAGGGUUGCGACCUCGAUGUUGGAUUAAGAUUAUUUUUGGGUGUAGAAGUUCAAAUUUUAGGUCUGUUCGACCUUUAAAAUCUUACA
rnacentral:rRNA from 1 species